rnacentral:rRNA from 1 species
AUUGAACGCUGGCGGCAGGCCUAACACAUGCAAGUCGAAUGGUAACAGGAAACAGCUUGCUGAUUCGCUGACGAGUGGCGGACGGGUGAGUAAUGUCUGGGAAACUGCCUGAUGGAGGGGGAUAACUACUGGAAACGGUAGCUAAUACCGCAUAACGUCGCAAGACCAAAGAGGGGGACCUUCGGGCCUCUUGCCAUCAGAUGUGCCCAGAUGGGAUUAGCUAGUAGGUGGGGUAACGGCUCACCUAGGCGACGAUCCCUAGCUGGUCUGAGAGGAUGACCAGCCACACUGGAACUGAGACACGGUCCAGACUCCUACGGGAGGCAGCAGUGGGGAAUAUUGCACAAAGGGCGCAAGCCUGAUGCAGCCAUGCCGCGUGUAUGAAGAAGGCCUUCGGGUUGUAAAGUACUUUCAGCGGGGAGGAAGGGAGUAAAGUUAAUACCUUUGCUCAUUGACGUUACCCGCAGAAGAAGCACCGGCUAACUCCGUG